UGCUUAACACAUGCAAGUCGAACGGGAAACGUUCCUUCGGGAACCGAGUACAGUGGCGCACGGGUGAGUAACACGUAGGUGACCUACCUAUCGCUGGGGAACAACCCCGGGAAACCGGAGCUAAUUCCGCAUACGCUUUCCAACUCGCGGGUUGGAAAGGAAAGAUGGCCUCUUCAUGAAAGCUAUCGGCGAAUGAUGGGCCCGCGCGUCAUUAGCUUGUUGGUGAGGUAACGGCUCACCAAGGCUGCGAUGACUAGCUGGUCUGAGAGGAUGAUCAGCCACACUGGCACUGGAACACGGGCCAGACUCCUACGGGAGGCAGCAGUGGGGAAUAUUGCGCAAUGGGCGAAAGCCUGACGCAGCAACGCCGCGUGAGUGACGAAGGCCUUCGGGUCGUAAAGCUCUGUCGAGAGGGACGAAACACCGGUGGGAACAAUACCUCGCCGGUUUGACGGUACCUCCAAAGGAAGCACCGGCUAACUCCGUGCCAGCAGCCGCGGUAAUACGGAGGGUGCAAGCGUUGUUCGGAAUUACUGGGCGUAAAGGGCGUGUAGGCGGAUCAAGAAGUCGGGUGUGAAAGCCCUGGGCUCAACCCAGGAAGUGCGCCCGAAACCAUUGGUCUUGAGUUCCAGAGGGGAGCGGGGAAUUCCCAGUGUAGAGGUGAAAUUCGUAGAUCUUGGGAAGAACACCGGUGCCGAAGGGGCCGCUCUGGAUGGAUACUGACGCUGAGGCGCGAAAGCGUGGGGAGCAAACAGGAUUAGAUACCCUGGUAGUCCACGCUGUUAAACGAUGUGCA
rnacentral:rRNA from 1 species